GCUCCGGUGGCUUAGUUUUCAGAGCGUCCGCCUCAGAUGCGAGAGGUCGUGGGUUCGAUCCCCGACCGAGUCA